rnacentral:rRNA from 1 species
UAACGCUGGCUGUGUGCCUAAUACAUGCAUGUCGAACGAAGUAGCUUGCUACUUAGUGGCGAAUGGGUGAGUAACACGUACUUAACCUACCUCUAAGAUGGGGAUAACAAUUGGAAACAAUUGCUAAUACCGAAUACUUAAAUAGAAGGCAUCUUUUAUUUAUAAAAGGAGCGUUUGCUCCGCUUGGAAAUGGGAGUGCGGAACAUUAGUUAGUUGGUGGGGUAAAAGCUCACCAAGACAAUGAUGUUUAGCAGGGCUGAGAAGCUGAACUGCCACACUGGGACUGAGAUACGGCCCAGACUCCUACGGGAGGCAGCAGUAAGGAAUAUUCCACAAUGAGCGAAAGCUUGAUGGAGCGACACAGCGUGAAGGAUGAAGGUCUUUGGAUUGUAAACUUCUGUUAUAAGGAAAGAAUAGCUAGUGUAGGAAAUGACAUUAGUUUGACGGUACCUUAUUAGAAAGCGAUGGCUAACUAUGUGCCAGCAGCCGCGGUAAUACAUAGGUCGCAAGCGUUAUCCGGAAUUAUUGGGUGUAAAGCGUCCGCAGGUGGUUUGUUAAGUCUGAAGUUAAAUACCAGAGCUCAACUUUGGCCCGCUUCAGAUACUGGCAAUCUAGAAUUACAGAGAGGUUAACGGAAUUUCAUGUGGAGCGGUGAAAUGCGUAGAUAUAUGAAAGAACACCAAUUUGGCGAAGGCAGUUAACUGGCUGUAUAUUGACACUCAAGGACUAAAGCGUGGGGAGCAAACAGGAUUAGAUACCCUGGUAGUCCACGCCCUAAACGAUGAUCAUUAGUUGGUAGAGAUUUUACUAACGCAGCUAACGCAUUAAAUGAUCCACCUGAGUAGUAUGCUCGCAAGAGUGAAACUUAAAGGAAUUGACGGGGACCCGCACAAGCGGUGGAGCAUGUGGUUUAAUUUGAAGAUACGCGGAGAACCUUACCCACUCUUGACAUCCCUUGCAAAGCUAUAGAGAUAUAGUGGAGGUUAUCAAGGUGACAGAUGGUGCAUGGUUGUCGUCAGCUCGUGUCGUGAGAUGUUAGGUUAAGUCCUGCAACGAGCGCAACCCUUGUCUUUAGUUACUAACAGAUAAUGCUGAGAACUCUAGAGAGACUGCCUAGGUAACUAGGAGGAAGGUGGGGAUGACGUCAAAUCAUCAUGCCUCUUACGAGUGGGGCGACACACGUGCUACAAUGGUGAGUACAAAGAGAAGCAAACUGGUGACAGGGAGCAAAUCUCAAAAAGCUCAUCUCAGUUCGGAUUGAAGUCUGCAACUCGACUUCAUGAAGUCGGAAUCGCUAGUAAUCGCAGAUCAGCCAUGCUGCGGUGAAUACGUUCUCGGGUCUUGUACAGACCGCCCGUCACACCAUGGGAGCUGAUAAUGCCCAAAGUUGGUUAACUAACCUGAAAAAUUUAUUUUUAAGGAAGAAACUGCCUAAGGUAGGAUCGGUGACUGGGGUGAAGUCGUAACAAGGUAUCCCUACGAGAACGUGGGGAUGGAUCACCUCCUUUCUACGGAGUACAUUUUUUUCAUAAUUUUUAGUGAAAAACCUUUUUAUUUUUUUAUAUAGUUAAAUUAAAUUUGUUGAAACGAGAGUUGAAACGAGAGUCAAAAUUUUUUUUAACGAAAAUUAAAAAAAAUUAAAAAUUUGAAAAUUAUUUUUUUUAAAUAAUUUUAAAAUUUUGAUUUGAUUUAUAUUUGUAAUUUAUGUAUACAGUUUUCAGAGAUUUAUGAUCUCUGAAUUAAAAUAUUAGCUCUUUGAAAACUGGAUUCUAAACAUUAAUAUGAGUUUUAUAAUAAAACAUCCAACAUAAAAAAUGUUUUGAUCAACCUAAGAAUAAACAUAUAACAAUAGGCAAUUAAAUUAAUUUUGAAAUUAAUUUAUUAAAUAAGCAAGAGUUUUUGGUGGAUGCCUUGGGUCUGAAAGUCGAUGAAGGACGUGAUAACCUGCGAAAAGCCUCGUGGAGUUGGAAAUACACUAUGAUACGGGGAUGUCCGAAUGGGGAAACCUAACUAGUCUAACCACUAGUUACUUUAUAAUGAAUAAAUAGUUAUAAAGAGAGAUACGUUGUGAACUGAAACAUCUUAGUAACAACAGGAAAAGAUAAUAAAAUUAAUUAUUUCCUUAGUAGUGGCGAGCGAAACGGAAAGAGCCCAAACCAUUUUUACAAUGGGGUUGUAGGAGUAGACUAUAUAAAGUUACAAAAUUUAAAUAUAGCAGAAUAACUUGGAAAGGUUAAACGUAGAGGGUGAUAUUCCCGUAUGCGAAAUAUUUAAAUCUUUUGUCUACCACCUGAGUAGGGCGGGGCACGUGAAACCCUGUCUGAAUCUACCAGGACCACCUGGUAAGGCUAAAUACUAAUCAGACACCGAUAGCGAACUAGUA